UGGGAUGUAGCUCAGUUGGUGGAGCAGCGGACUGUUAACCCGUGUGUCGCAGGUUCGAGCCCUGCCUUCCCAGCCA
rnacentral:tRNA from 1 species